rnacentral:rRNA from 1 species
GAUGAACGCUGGCGGCGUGCCUAAUACAUGCAAGUCGAGCGAACGGACGAGAAGCUUGCUUCUCUGAUGUUAGCGGCGGACGGGUGAGUAACACGUGGAUAACCUACCUAUAAGACUGGGAUAACUUCGGGAAACCGGAGCUAAUACCGGAUAAUAUUUUGAACCGCAUGGUUCAAAAGUGAAAGACGGUCUUGCUGUCACUUAUAGAUGGAUCCGCGCUGCAUUAGCUAGUUGGUAAGGUAACGGCUUACCAAGGCAACGAUGCAUAGCCGACCUGAGAGGGUGAUCGGCCACACUGGAACUGAGACACGGUCCAGACUCCUACGGGAGGCAGCAGUAGGGAAUCUUCCGCAAUGGGCGAAAGCCUGACGGAGCAACGCCGCGUGAGUGAUGAAGGUCUUCGGAUCGUAAAACUCUGUUAUUAGGGAAGAACAUAUGUGUAAGUAACUGUGCACAUCUUGACGGUACCUAAUCAGAAAGCCACGGCUAACUACGUGCCAGCAGCCGCGGUAAUACGUAGGUGGCAAGCGUUAUCCGGAAUUAUUGGGCGUAAAGCGCGCGUAGGCGGUUUCUUAAGUCUGAUGUGAAAGCCCACGGCUCAACCGUGGAGGGUCAUUGGAAACUGGAAAACUUGAGUGCAGAAGAGGAAAGUGGAAUUCCAUGUGUAGCGGUGAAAUGCGCAGAGAUAUGGAGGAACACCAGUGGCGAAGGCGACUUUCUGGUCUGUAACUGACGCUGAUGUGCGAAAGCGUGGGGAUCAAACAGGAUUAGAUACCCUGGUAGUCCACGCCGUAAACGAUGAGUGCUAAGUGUUAGGGGGUUUCCGCCCCUUAGUGCUGCAGCUAACGCAUUAAGCACUCCGCCUGGGGAGUACGACCGCAAGGUUGAAACUCAAAGGAAUUGACGGGGACCCGCACAAGCGGUGGAGCAUGUGGUUUAAUUCGAAGCAACGCGAAGAACCUUACCAAAUCUUGACAUCCUUUGACAACUCUAGAGAUAGAGCCUUCCCCUUCGGGGGACAAAGUGACAGGUGGUGCAUGGUUGUCGUCAGCUCGUGUCGUGAGAUGUUGGGUUAAGUCCCGCAACGAGCGCAACCCUUAAGCUUAGUUGCCAUCAUUAAGUUGGGCACUCUAAGUUGACUGCCGGUGACAAACCGGAGGAAGGUGGGGAUGACGUCAAAUCAUCAUGCCCCUUAUGAUUUGGGCUACACACGUGCUACAAUGGACAAUACAAAGGGCAGCGAAACCGCGAGGUCAAGCAAAUCCCAUAAAGUUGUUCUCAGUUCGGAUUGUAGUCUGCAACUCGACUACAUGAAGCUGGAAUCGCUAGUAAUCGUAGAUCAGCAUGCUACGGUGAAUACGUUCCCGGGUCU